UACGGAGGGUGCAAGCGUUAUCCGGAUUCACUGGGUUUAAAGGGUGCGUAGUCGGAUAUGUAAGUCCGUGGUGAAAUCUCUGGGCUUAACCCGGAAACUGCCAUGGAUACUAUGUGUCUUGAAUGUUGUUGAGGUGAGCGGAAUAUGUCAUGUAGCGGUGAAAUGCUUAGAUAUGACAUAGAACACCAAUUGCGAAGGCAGCUCACUAAGCAAAUAUUGACGCUGAGGCACGAAAGCGUGGGGAUCAAACAGG
rnacentral:rRNA from 1 species